UACGUAGGGUGCAAGCGUUGUCCGGAAUUAUUGGGCGUAAAGAGCUCGUAGGCGGUUUGUCGCGUCUGCUGUGAAAACUCGGGGGCUUAACCCCGGGCCUGCAGUGGGUACGGGCAGACUAGAGUGCGGUAGGGGAGACUGGAAUUCCUGGUGUAGCGGUGAAAUGCGCAGAUAUCAGGAGGAACACCGGUGGCGAAGGCGGGUCUCUGGGCCGAUACUGACGCUGAGACGCGAAGCGUGGGGAGCAAACAGG
rnacentral:rRNA from 1 species